AACCAAAUGAUGUAUCAAAAUAUUUGCUACUCUUGAUAGAUUUUCACCUAUUUGAUGAUGGUUUUUUACCAAGAUUUUUGAGGCC